UCGUUCGUUAGAGAACCUUAAUAGGUUUGUCAAGUGGCUUAAAGAAUAAGGAUUGACAUUUUAUGCAUCUGUAUUAUUUAUGUUAGCUGAAAGAAAUCAGAUCAAAGUUGAUGCAGUAAGCUUUUCAAGCGAUUAAAAUGUCUACAAGGUGUCCAAAAAUGAAGAUAUAUAUGGCCAUGAAACUGAAACAAAAUUUAGUAAGCUUUUCAAGUGAUUGAAAUGUUUACAAGGCCACUUUCUUUGUUUUAGUCGUCUGGAUGCUUUAAGACAAAGACAGAUAAUGUAAUCUAGUAUCCUUUCUUCUUUUCAUUUGAUAUAUAUAGUCUUGUAUGACAUUGUAUUCAAGUUAAGAGUAUCUCUUAGUACUUUAAUUCUUAAAUAUGUUUUUCUUAUAAAAAAAAUCACGAAAAAUCAUUAAGAUGUAAAUACUUAUUUUUAUAUAUUUAAAGAAAUACCAUAGUCAAUAUCAAAACUGAUGCAAAACAGAUAAAAAACAUUGCUCCAAACUAGUAUAUCAUUCUUGGAUUCCAAGGCACAUCUCAAUUACACAGCCUACUCUGAGCAUUAUUUCACUUUUUUCUGCAAUUAACCUCACAGUGACUUUACAAAAUCUAGUUAACUAACAUUAGUUAAUGGAGUCCAGUGGCAUCAAUUGAUUCAUGUGGCCAAACCUACUCAACCCAGUAAGUGGGAUAUAGUAGCAGAGAUGUUCAAUUUCUAUCUACUGAACCUACUUUGCAAGUAAGUAACAGAGAGGUUUCCUUUCUAUCUCUGCCUCUCACAUACCUAACUAAUAUAUGGAAUAUGUUGUAUCAGUUAUUUCUCAAAACUUUAAAUAACCAGUGUUUGAAAUGAAUUAACUUAACUGUGCUGAAUAUGCAGAAAUAAAACUUGGGGUUUGAUUGUAAGACUUUUUUUUUUGCCAAGGGUACUGUUGCUUACUUGAGACCAUUUAUGUUGUUAAAUAGAUAACACCUCUAUGCAGCAGAAAAGAGUACAACAAAGCCAAUGGAAGAGGUUUAUAUUCAGGUCAGGUGUAGCACAGGUUAAAGUUCACAUACAGUUUCUGAUAGUACAUUGGGAACGUACCUUGGAUCUGUAAAGGCAGUUUUAAUUUUAGUUUGAAU
rnacentral:lncRNA from 1 species